UUAAUCUAGCUGCAACACACAACAGACCCGCAGGAGGCCGUCAUGUUUCUCGAUAAUGUGGUUAUCGCUGGAGUAUUUACCGUCGGCCUCAUGGUCUUGUUUUUCGCGGGACUGGGCAUUUUUAUCUGGAAAGACUCCCGCAAGCGCAAAUAGCGCAGGUCUUUUCGGGGUAUGAGCACGCAAGGCAUUUUGGGCGACUUCGGUCGCCUAUUUUUUUG
rnacentral:sRNA from 1 species